CACGUACUUGGCAACACUUUGAAGACCAGUGGCUUGGGAGGGUGGGCAGUUUUUCGUUCCUAUUUUCUCCAUCCGCCCAUCCUCAUUCUUCAGUGUGGAUAACUGGCAUUUUCUUGGUGUAAAGUAAAUUGAAUUUCAAGUUCUACUUCAAUUCCUAUCUGAAUGUGGCUUCUCAGGGAAGUGAAGGAAGAGGUUUGAAGUUCAGAGCACAGCUGCAGGGUUUCUCUCUGAUCUGAACAAUGGCUGUAGCUGUGGACAAACAAAUCCACACUCAAGUACAAGAAGGACUUCAAAUAAUGAAGCUGGAAGAAGAUUCCCACAGGGAGCAGGAAAUUUUCCUUCUAGGGAAUGUCCCUGGACCAGAGACCUCCUGCCAGUGCUUUUGGCAUUUCUGCUAUUGAGAAGCAGCAGGACUCUGAGAGUCCCUCAUCCAACUCUGGAAGCUUGGCCAUCGGUGAUUGAGACCAGAGAUAAACGAAAGAGCAGUUCCUAGAGUCACUAGUCCUAGAAUCGUUCCUGGCUGUCCUUCCCCAGGAGAUCCAGAUCUGGGUUAGACAGAAGCAUCCACAGAGUGGACAGGAGGCAGUGGCCCUGGUGGAAGAUUUGCAAAGAGAACCUGGAAGACAGCAGCUGCAGGUCAUGGUGAUGAUGUCACAGCCAGACCAGAAGACCAAAUGAAUCGUAGCCCCGAAGUAGAACUGGGAGCCUCCCACAAGAGUGAGCGAGCGCAAACUCACUGCCCUGUGGCAUGUGGAAUCUUCCUGGACCAGGGAUCGAACCAGUGUCAUUAAAAGAAGGAUUCUUAACCACUGGACCACCAGGGAAGCCCAAGUUGACUUUUUAAUGUGGUGACUUGUCUGGGCAGAACUACAUGCCCGAGUUCACCCCCUGUGUUUCCAGGUAGAGUAGGCCACUGAAGAUUUUUCUGAGUGAGAAGUGGUGGGUAGAAGGGAAGCCGCAGCCAUCCUGGCUCCACGCUCAGGAGAUGGGGCAGGUGCAGCAGUGUGACUCACGCAUGUGGCUGGUUAGCUACCUUCAGCGAUGCCAUCUUCCCAAGAUCCUCCUUAAGCUUCUCCCAACCCUGGGCCAGGGGCGUGUUAGCUCAGUGCUAGACUGUACCCGCUUCUCCAGAAGGUGACCUGCAUCAAGAACUGACAGGUUCCAGCUGGUCCUUACCCUCCCCAUCUUGUCUGCCUACCGGGGUCCAGCCCCAGCAGGAUCCAGGGAUACCCUCAGGAUGGACAGCGUCGGUGAGAGAGAAAGUAAAGGAGAGAAAAAGAGGCUGAUAUUCCUUGGUUUACAGAGAAAGCCAAUAAAGCCCCUGACACAGGACUUGCUCUGUUCACGGAGGCCACAGGCGACCUCUCGAUGGAGUGAAGACGCAGAGCGCCUUCUCUCUGGAGUGGAGACGCAGAGCGCCUCCUCGAUUGGGUCUUAGAAGCCUGGGCAAAAAAAAGUGAACUCAGAGAGCCUCUGUGCUCCGAGGAAUCAGCCCGAAAAAAGAGAAAGAGAGAGAGAAAGAAUGACACGGGGAGUCCAAGCUCUGAUGAAGCCGGGUCUGCAGCUUUAUUUUCAAAGGGAGCUUUUAUACCCCGAGUUACACAUUUCCAUAAGUGAAAGACACAAAGUCAUGCAGAGUCAGCUCAACAUUACAUCUGUUUUACCUUUAUUGAAACCAGGACAUUUUCUGCAUAGCUUUUCAUAAACAAGGGUCUUAUGUACAGCAUCUUCUGGCCCUGUGGCCUGUUAACAUUUUGUAACUCUUUCUUGAUAAAGGUUGGUCAACCAGAAAACCUGCUUUCCCUUUAUCUUCCCAAUCUGCAGUCCUCCUCAGGAAACACAGCUACAUUCUUAUGGAGCAGAGGUGCAGUGGGUUACAACAAAGAAAGAACUUACUAACUCAAGGGUCUUAUAUUGCUAAUGCCAAGGCUACUGCUUGUUUUCUUGCAUACCAACUAUACUAGCUAAUGCACUCCCAGGCGCACCAUUGGGUAAAGGACAAGGAAACUCAGUAGCAAACAUUGGCUCAACAAUAUAGUAUUAUUCUAAUAAAGCUUUUUUUUAUCGCUCGAAGUUUAUGCUUGGGGUGUUGUGAACAAUCA
ensembl:lncRNA